GUACACGCUGUGACUAGCAUAUCAAUAAGCGGAGGAAAAGAAACUAACAAGGAUUCCCCUAGUAACGGCGAGUGAAGCGGGAAGAGCUCAAAUUUGAAAUCUUAAAGGUUUACCUUGACGAAUUGUAGUUUAAAGAAGUGUUUUCUGUUGAAGGUUUUGGUAAAAGUUCUUUGGAAUAGGACAUCAUAGAGGGUGAGAAUCCCGUAUUUGACCAUUUACUUUCAGCUUUGUGAUACACUUUCAAAGAGUCGGAUUGUUUGGGAAUGCAGUCCAAAAUGGGUGGUAAAUUUCAUCUAAAGCUAAAUAUUGGCGAGAGACCGAUAGCGAACAAGUACCGUGAGGGAAAGAUGAAAAGAACUUUGAAAAGAGAGUUAAACAGUACGUGAAAUUGUCAAAAGGGAAGCGUUUGACACCAGUGUUGUUUUUCUGAAAAUCAAUUAAAGAACUGUUUAUGCUAAGUUGUUUAGACUUUAUCAGCUAACUGUUUAGUUUUGAGCUUUUCUUUAAUGCACUUUUCAGUUAACAAGUCAACAUCAAUUUCUUUUGCUGUAAAAAAGCUUGAGGAAGGUGGCUUGAGAUUCGUCUUAAGUGUUUAUAGCCUCUUGCCUAUGCAGUCGGAGAGAUUGAGGUCUGCAGCGUAGAUCCUUCGGGGCUAAAUGCAUUUGUGCUAAGUUAUAGCAUUUUAUAGACAACUUGUUGACUAUGAUUUGUCUUGUAGCUUACUCGCUUAUGUUAUUUUACCUACGCUUAGGAUGUUGAGCGCAUGUCUCUCUCU
rnacentral:rRNA from 1 species